UGGCUAUUAUAUAAAUAAAUUUUUAAUUAAAAAGUUAAAAUUGGAGGACUUACUCUAAAUUGCAAAUAUAUGAUAUUAUCCUUAUAUAGUCAACAUUGAUUGGAGAAAGAAGAAAUUAUUAUAUGCACCUAGUGUAUAUUAACACACCAUACACCACAACUUAUAUUAAAGGAUUUAAAUCUCUAUUAAAUGUUUUAAGUAUGUGGUGUAUGUUCUCAUAUACAUCCAGUAUAGAGAAUGCUUAAUAGGGCGCAUUCACAAUUCCAAGAAAAGGAGGAGAAAUCUUUACUUACACCUAAUGUAUACUUAUAUUUCAUACACCAUAAAAGCAUAUUAGAUGAUUGAUAGAAUAUUUGAUAAUUAGUAUUAAAGAUUUUUGUGAUGUCAUGGAACUGCUAGAUUAUAUACCUUAUAAAUUUUAAAAUAUUAACAAUAAAAAGAGGCUUGGUGUAUAUGAUAUUUUAAUAGACCGGGUGCAUGCAAUAUUGUUGAAGUAGAGGAGGGAGGAAAAAGAACACAUGUCCCUCCGAAGGCUUCUGAUGUGACCCAACUGUCAAAAUAAUAUAUCUAUAGAUGAGAUGGAAGCAAAAGUCUUUUUCACUUCCAAAAGUAUUCAGCUCAACUCCAUUAAAUACUAAACAGAAUAGCCACAAUGUUCUUUAGACAAGAAGCCCCUAAACAAGUUGUUCCUGAGUAACUUCGGUUCUGCUUGAACUCAACAACCUACGUGUCUAUUGCUCUCAUUGCAGCAAUGCAUCAAUUUAUUUCGAACUGAUUAUGAUUUGCACAACCACUAAUCAGAGCUUUCACUUAGGAAAAGAAAUUUUAAUAGCAAGGUUAGCUCCCUUAAUCCACUUAAAAGGUUUCAAAAGUAAAGACAGUGGAAACAUCCUCAUUAAUGAUGCAGCAUUGGAGAAAGAACCAUCAGCUUACAUCAAAUUAUUUGAGGUCUGUACCAGUAUUAAACUAUGUAUGCCAAGUAAAUGCAUCAAUUUGCAGCGUACACUUUGCUGUGCUGCUAGGACAUGUCUACCUAAGAUAUAGGCCCGGUUUGGCAACUAGAAUGCAAUUUGAGAGGAUAAGAGGAAAGAAUGACGCUGAAUGCGAGGAUUAAGCAACUCAUGGGCAGAUGACAACAAAUAGGGGGUGGUUUCAAUAGGACACAACAGGAUUUCUCGAAUACAAUCACGACCUCUCAGUUUCAGAUUCAAUAAUCCCAUCCUAAGAGGAUUGUUUUACCUGCUCCCCAGACAAUGCUAUCUUAUAUUAGCCUAUCGAAUCCAAUAGUCAAACAGGUUCUUAAGUUAACAAUUUAGCUUCUAUCACACCAUGACAUCCCUCAAUUCAGAAUUCUCAGGUUCAAUAUAAUUCUGACAUCUAUCACACCAUUCUAUUCCACAAAUUUAGCUUGCAGGAUCUUGUAUAUAAGCACAGAUAUGCGAAACCCAAAAAGAAAAUCAAGAGGAAUAUAGUGAAAAUUUUACAUCACAUAAUAGGAGUAAAGCCGCGUGUUAAAUUUGUAUAUAUUAUAUAUAUAUAUAUAUAUAUUAUAUAUAUAUAUAUAUAGAGUCCGGCCUACUAUACUCUUAUCACUCCGUUUGGAAUGGGUACAAGAGGGGGCGAUAAGCGGGGUUAUCCCCUCUUGUACCAAACACAAUUUGGGGAGGGGUGGAACACCUUGUUCGCCCAACCUGGUACAAGACCCCAACCUGGUACAAGACCUUGUACCAGGUUGGGGUGGAACAAGUGUACCCCAAGGGGGAACAAAGGUGGAACACUUGUUCCACCCUCCCCGAGUAGAGAGAGAGAAGAGAGAGAGAGAGGAGAGAGAAGAUUUUCAUUUUAAUUUAAUUUAAUUUUAAUUUCUAAAAUUUAUAAUAUUAGUUUUUUAAAUUUAAAUUUAUAUUUUAAUUAUAAAUUUUAAUGUUUAAAUUAUAAAUUUGAUAUUUGUAAUUUUUAAUUUUAAAUUUAAUUUUUUAGAUUUAAAAUUUAAAAUUUUAUUUUUAUCUCUUUCAAUUUAAAUUUGAUCUUAAAUUUAAAAUUUGAUAUUUAAAAUUUAAAUUUUGAAAAUAUAAGUUUUAAUUUUAAUUUCAUAUUUUAAAAUUUAAAAGUUAAAAUUUUUAAUUUAAAAUUAUUAGUUUAAAAUGUUAAAUUCAAUUAUAGAGGUAAAAUUAUUAUUUUCUAUCUAUAACUACCAACUAUUCCACCUUAUACUCAGAUUUUCAUCCAAACACAAUUUUUCUAGUUCCAGCUUAUACUCGUAUUUUCAUCCAAACAAAAAAAAUACUCUUGUUCCUACGAAAAUCCAUUCUUGUACCUAUCCCCGAUAUAACUAGUUCUUGCUUAUACCCGAACCAAACGAAGCCUAUGAGUACAAUCACCCUCGUACUCAUAAGUUGUUUUCGAUGAUAGAGUUUUCGAAUCGACAAUCCAUACCGUCAAACAUUAUCUAGAGCAUUUAAAUUUAAAACUUCUAGAAAUCAAAUUUUAUAAUUUUUCAACAUCAUUUACCUUACGAUCAAAAUAUCACAAUAUUGACAAUUUUUAACAGCCAGUAUGGAAUACUUGCUAGUUUAACGGUGUAAAAAAAUCGGAAUCGGUUGAAUUUUUAUAAAAAAUUAUAUUCACUACCUAGAUAAAGAUCAAUAACUCCGAUCUUAAAUUGAAGGAUCCGAUCAUCCAUUUUUAGGACGCCGUUCGAUUUCGACCGUUCAUUUUAUACCCGCUUGAUGGACUUUAUUAUGAUUUCGAAAAAUUACGAAAUUUAUUUUUUAGAAGUUUCGAAUACUCUAGAUCAUAUUUAAUGGAGUGGAUCGUCGAUUCGGAAAUCCCAUCANGAAUUCAUGAUUUUAUGACAUCAUCCACCUAGUGAUCAAGUGAUCUCAAAUACACUUCAUAUUAGCCGUUAAAAAUGGUCAAUUUUAAGACUAUUUGAAUAAUCUCGAAACAUCACAAAAUUUAUUACGAAGUUCAAGUCGUGUAGAUUAUAUGUAACGGUGUUAUUCGUUGAUUUGGAUGCCUCAUCAUCCAAAAUGAGAUGGAAGCAAAACUCUUUUUAACUUCCAAAAGUAUUCCACUCAACUCCAUUAGAUACUAAACAGAUUAGCCACAAUGUUCUUUAGACAAGAAGCCCCUAAACAAGUUGUUCCUGAGUAACUUCGGUUCCGCUUGAAAUCAACAACCUACCUGUCUCUAUGCUCUCAUUGCAGCAAUGCAUCAAUUUAUUUCGAACUGAUUAUGAUUUACACAACCACUAAUCAGAGCUUUCACUUAGGAAAAGAAAUUUUAAUAGCAAGGUUAGCUCCCUUAAUGCACUUAAAUAGUUUCAAGAGUAAAGACAGUGGAAACAUCCUCAUUAAUGAUGCAGCAUUGGAGAAAGAACCAUCAGCUUACAUCAAA
rnacentral:lncRNA from 1 species